rnacentral:rRNA from 1 species
GAUGAACGCUGACAGAAUGCUUAACACAUGCAAAUCUACUUAAAUUUGGGUUUUUUAACUUCGAUUUGGGUGGUGGACGGGUGAGUAACGCGUAAAGAACUUGCCUCACAGACAGGGACAACAUUUGGAAACGAAUGCUAAUACCUGAUAUUAUGAUUUUAGGGCAUCCUAGGAUUAUGAAAGCUAUAUGCGCUGUGAGAGAGCUUUGCGUCCCAUUAGCUAGUUGG